rnacentral:lncRNA from 1 species
CACAAUUGCACUUAUAUGGAGGGAAAGGAACAGAACUAGAUUUGAUUUGAAUAAGUAUGAAGAAACUCAUGUCUGUAAAGAGAUCGCCCUUCUUAUUCAUAUCAGAGACAGAAAAUGCAAUCGAUGGAAGAAUGGCUUGAGGCAAAUAGAUAGAUUUCCUUAGCUAUAUUGUAUGAAAUCCCUGUACUGAGUAUAAUAGUGAUUACAUAAAGGACUCAGUCUAGAAUGAUGUAAUUAGUUGGAGCAAGUCAAAGCUCCUACUAAAUUGUCUUGUAC